rnacentral:lncRNA from 1 species
GUGAUAGUCUCUACCCAGCUGAUUGUAGUUGUGGUAUCCAGGUGUGAUAGUCUCUACCCAGCUGAUUGUAGUUGUGGUAUCUUUGUCCCCAGGUGUGAUCGUCUCUACCCAGCUGAUUGUAGUUGUGGUGUCUUUGUCCCCAGGUGUGAUAGUCUCUACCCAGCUGAUUGUAGUUGUGGUGUCUUUGUCCCCAGGUGUGAUCGUCUCUACCCAGCUGAUUGUAGUUGUGGUGUCUUUGUCCCCAGGUGUGAUCGUCUCUACCCAGUAACGGGAUGGAGGUCCAACCAGAGGAGACGGUCGUGGUACCGGAGGUUCUUCAGAGCUCAGCAGAGACACACGGAGAGGAACUGGAACUUAACGACGGUACCAGCACCGAGCACCGGGAGGACGGAUGCACAGCUGAGACAGAACCUCGGGGACUGACCUCCGUGACCUCAGACAGCCGUUUACCGGGAGAGUUAACGGGAGGAGCAGAGGAGAUGGAGGUUACGGAGAAUCUCGACUCUGUCUCGAGCUCCGAGCUGGGAGACGGAACCACACACACUAACCUCCUCCAGGACCCCCCCUGGACCCCCCCCAGGACGUCUCCCAGGACCCCUCCCAGGACCCCCCCCAGGACCCCCCCCAGGACCCCUCCCAGGACCUCCUCCACGACCCC